rnacentral:rRNA from 1 species
UACGUAGGGGGCAAGCGUUGUCCGGAUUUACUGGGUGUAAAGGGCGCGUAGGCGGGUUUGUAAGUCAGUGGUGAAAUCCUGCGGCUUAACCGUAGAACUGCCAUUGAUACUGCAAAUCUUGAGUUUGGAAGAGAGAAGCGGAAUUCCAGGUGUAGUGGUGAAAUACGUAGAUAUCUGGAAGAACACCAGUGGCGAAGGCGGCUUCUUGGUCCAUAACUGACGCUGAGGCGCGAAAGCGUGGGGAUCAAACAGGAUUAGAUACCCGUGUAGUCC